UGAGGAUAAUUUACAACCCUUACCGAAAGCAAUUGGAGGGCAAGUCUGGUGCCAGCAGCCGCGGUAAUUCCAGCUCCAAUAGCGUAUAUUAAAGUUGUUGCAGUUAAAAGCUCGUAGUUGAAGUUCUGAUUGUUCGGGCCUCGCGCUUUAUAGCCGAGGAACCGACAGUCAUCCGCUUGCAAAUAUAUGUUCGCCUUUAACCGGGUGGCUAUAUGAGUAAGCAAUUUUACCUUGAGAAAAACAGAGUGUUCCAGGCAGGUUUGUCCGGAAUGCAUUAGCAUGGAAUAAUAGAAUAUGACUGAAGUCGAUUUAUUGGUUUAAGGCUUUAGUAAUGAUUAAUAGGAACAGUCGGGGGCAUUGGUACUUGACAGUCAGAGGUGAAAUUCUAGGAUUUGUCAAAGACUAACAAAUGCGAAAGCAUUUGCCAAGGAUGUUUUCAUUAAUCAAGAACGAAAGUUAGGGGAAUCAAAGACGAUCAGAUACCGUCCUAGUCUUAACUAUAAACUAUACCGACUCGGAUUCAGAUGAAUC
rnacentral:rRNA from 1 species